CUGGGAUUGCGAAUGGGGGCAGCCUGAUCCAGCCAUGCCGCGUGAGUGAUGAAGGCCUUCGGGUUGUAAAGCUCUUUUGUCCGGGAAGAUAUUGACCGUACCAGCACUCUAAGCCCCUGACGGUUCCGUGCCAACAACCACCGUCAUACUACGUGCCAGCAGCCGCGGUAAUA
rnacentral:rRNA from 1 species